rnacentral:rRNA from 1 species
GACGAACGCUGGCGGCGUGCCUAAUACAUGCAAGUCGAGCGGUAAGGCCCUUCGGGGUACACGAGCGGCGAACGGGUGAGUAACACGUGAGCAAUCUGCCCUGCACAUCGGGAUAACCCCCGGAAACGGGAGCUAAUACCGGAUACGACCACUUCAGGCACCUGAAGGUGGGGGAAAGUUCCGGCGGUGCAGGAUGAGCUCGCGGCCUAUCAGCUUGUUGGUGGGGUAACGGCCCAACAAGGCUUCGACGGGUAGCCGGCCUGCAGAGGGUGACCGGCCACACUGGGACUGAGACACGGCCCAGACUCCUACGGGAGGCAGCAGUGGGGAAUAUUGGACAAUGGGCGAAAGCCUGAUCCAGCAACGCCGCGUGAGGGAUGACGGCCUUCGGGUUGUAAACCUCUUUCAGCAGGGACGAAGCGCAAGCGACGGUACCUGCAGAAGAAGCACCGGCCAACUACGUGCCAGCCGCCGCAGUAAUAC